rnacentral:rRNA from 1 species
AACGAACGCUGGCGGCAGGCCUAACACAUGCAAGUCGAGCGAGGACUUCGGUCCUAGCGGCGGACGGGUGAGUAACGCGUGGGAACGUGCCCUUUGCUUCGGAAUCGCCCUGUGAAACUGGGCGUAAUACCGGAUGAGCCCUUUGGGGGAAAGAUUUAUCGGCGAAGGAUCGGCCCGCGUUGGAUUCGGUAGUUGGUGGGGUAAUGGCAUGCCAAGCCGAGGAUCCAUAGCUGGUUGGAGAGGAUGAUCAGCCACACUGGGACUGAGACACGGCCCAGACUCCGACGGGGAGGAGGAGUGGGGAAUCUUAGACAAUGGGGGAAACCCUGAUCUAGCCAUGCCGCGUGAGCGAUGAAGGGCUUAGGGUUGUAAAGCUCUUUCAGCUGGGAAGAUAAUGACGGUACCAGCAGAAGAAGCCCCGGCUAACUCCGUG